rnacentral:rRNA from 1 species
UACGUAGGGUGCGAGCGUUGUCCGGAAUUAUUGGGCGUAAAGGGCGCGUAGGCGGCUUGGCAAGUGGAUGGUGAAAUCCCUCGGCUUAACCGAGGAACUGCCGUCCAAACUGCUUUGCUUGAGGCCGGGAGAGGGUAGUGGAAUUCCCGGUGUAGUGGUGAAAUGCGUAGAUAUCGGGAGGAACACCAGUGGCGAAGGCGGACUACCUGGCCUGUUCUUGACGCUGAGGCGCGAAAGCUAGGGGAGCAAACGGGG